rnacentral:lncRNA from 1 species
AAUCAUCCCAUUCGGUAUAAAUGGUACGUUAAUUGAGUGGCAAAUCUGCGGUUUACACUUUACACUCAAACCUUAAUAUUGAAUGAAUUUAAGGUCCAAUGUUGAUUACAAUUACAUUCUUGAGAAUGGAAUGUAAAUGAGUAGGUAAUAUUCUCAUGUUUGAUAUGAUUAUAUUUGUGAGAAUGUAUCUUCCCAUCUAUCGAGGAAUCCCAAUUCUUCUAAUGAUGAAAUUACUUUCCCAUUUUUGAUAUCCUGAACUACAAUGGAACUGCUGCAGAAUUUCAACCCAAUCGAACAAAUGGGUCAGAGUCUAGGGGAUUAUGUGGGCAGUAUAAAUUUGAUACAGAAGAACAUAAUGAUCAAGAACAUUGCUGCUUCCUACACACAGCUUCUUCAAAAUGAAAGCACAUGAUGGAAUAAUAAUACCUUGCCAAAUCUUCUGGUAACCAGAAAUGCCGCUGCUUUUGUCUCUGCAAAUGAACUACAAGCAUAAGCAGAUCAAAUGCUUGGCUAAUUCCAAAUUUGCAUUCUCAAGCAGACAACUGGAGACACUCCAAGAUCGGUUCAGGAUCAUGGGAUCCUUUUCUAUC